GAUAAGAACGUAGCGAAAUGCGAUAAGUAGUGUGAAUUGCAGAAUUCAGUGAAUCAUCGAAUCUUUGAACGCACAUUGCGCCCUUUGGUAUUCCAAAGGGCAUGCCUGUUCGGGCGUCAUUUGUACCCUCAAGCUUUGCUUGGUGUUGGGCGUCUUGUCUCUAGCUUUGCUGGAGACUCGCCUUAAAGUAAUUGGCAGCCGGCCUACUGGUUUCGGAGCGCAGCACAAGUCGCACUCUCUAUCAGCAAAGGUCUAGCAUCCAUUAAGCCUUUUUUUCAACUUUUGACCUCGGAUCAGGUAGGGAUACCCGCUGAACUUAAGCAUAUCAAUAAGCGGAGGA
rnacentral:misc_RNA from 1 species